AGAGUUGAUCAUGGCUCAGGAUGAACGCUGGCGGCAGGCUUAAUACAUGCAAGUCGAACGGUAAGGUCCGAAGUGGCAACACGGAGGAUACACGAGUGGCGCACGGGUGCGUAACGCGUAUGCAACCUGCCCCCGACCGGGACAAAACAGCUGGAAACGGCUGCUAAUAUCCCAUGGUCAUGCGGAAGGGCAUCCUUCUUCAUGUAAAGAUUCAUUGGUCGGGGAUGGGCAUGCGUAUUAUUAGGUAGUUGGCGGGGUAACGGCCCACCAAGCCGACGAUGAUUAGGGGUCCUGAGAGGGUUAACCCCCCACACUGGAACUGAGACACGGUCCAGACUCCUACGGGAGGCAGCAGUAGGGAAUAUUGGGCAAUGGGAGCAAUCCUGACCCAGCCAUGCCGCCGUGAAGGAAGACGGCCCUAUGGGUUGUAAACUUCUUUUGCCGCAGAGUAAACCCGGUCACGAGUGGUCGGUUGAGAGUAUGCGGCGAAUAAGUAUCGGCUAACUCCGUGCCAGCAGCGGC
rnacentral:rRNA from 1 species